UGCAGAUGAUGUUUAUUCUCACGAUGGUCUUCCUAGACUCUUAAGAGAGCUCUGAGGAUACUGCCUAUGGCAACACUGAUGCAGUAGA